ACGUGCGUCGUAGGCCCUGAAUUCCAGUGGCGGGCUCGCCGUGUUCCCGAGCGUAGUAAUGCUACCUCGCUCUGGGGCGCGCGGCGGGCGCCGGCCGUGAAACGACGAAACAUUAACCCCAAGGUUGACCUCGGAUCAGGUAGGAAUACCCGCUGAACUUAAGCAUAUCAAUAAGCGGAGGAAAAGAAACCAACAGGGAUUGCCUCAGUAACGGCGAGUGAAGCGGCAACAGCUCAAAUUUGAAAUCUGGCUCCGGCCCGAGUUGUAAUUUGCAGAGGAUGCUUUGGGCGCGGCGCCUCCCGAGUCCCCUGGAACGGGGCGCCAAAGAGGGUGAGAGCCCCGUAUGGUAGGACGCCAAGCCUGUGUAAAGCUCCUUCGACGAGUCGAGUAGUUUGGGAAUGCUGCUCUAAACGGGAGGUAAAUUCCUUCUAAAGCUAAAUACCGGCCAGAGACCGAUAGCGUACAAGUAGAGUGAUCGAAAGAUGAAAAGCACUUUGAAAAGAGGGUCAAACAGCACGUGAAAUUGUUGAAAGGGAAGCGCUUGUGACCAGACGUGCGCUGGGUCGAUCAUCCGGUGUUCUCACCGGUGCACUCGGCCUGGCGCAGGCCAGCAUCGGUUCUCGUGGGGGGAGAAAAACCCGGGGAAUGUAGCGCCUCCGGGCGUGUUAUAGCCCCGGGCGUAAUACCCUCGCGGGGACCGAGGCCCGCSCGCU
rnacentral:rRNA from 1 species